CGAAAAUGCUAAUGAAAUCAGGGCCAAUUGUACUAUUUUCGGUGGUCCUCUGCAGCACGCUUGUGUUUAUAGUGUUCUUCCAGCCAAAUCCAUCUCCUUCUCAAAAACAACACUCCAUGGCUCGUAGCUUUAUUCUUUGGCUUCAUGGAUUAGGUGAUUCAGGUCCUGCCAAUGAACCCAUCAAAACUCUCUUCACUUCUCCUCAGUUUGCAACUACCAAAUGGUCUUUCCCUUCUGCUCCUAAUAACCCAGUCACCUGCAACUAUGGCGCUGUAAUGCCUUCAUGGUUCGACAUCCAUGAGAUUCCCAUAACAGCUGAUUCUCCAAAAGACGAAAGUGGGGUGCUGAAAGCAGUUCAGAAUGUACAUGCAAUGAUAGACCAGGAAAUAGCUGCAGGGACAAAUCCUGAUAACAUAUUCGUGUGUGGAUUUAGUCAAGGAGGUUCCUUGACCUUGGCUAGUGUUUUGCUGUACCCGAAGACUCUAGGAGGGGGUGCAGUCUUCAGUGGAUGGGUUCCUUUCAAUUCUUCUAACAUGGAACAGAUUCCAUCAGAUGCGAAAAAGACACCUAUUUUGUGGUCACACGGAAUUGCUGACAGAACAGUAUUGUUUGAAGCUGGACAAGCAGGGCUCCCUUUCCUCGAAAAAGCUGGCAUAAGCUGUGAGUUUAAGGCAUAUCCUGGUCUUGGCCAUUCAAUAAUCGAUCAGGAGUUGCAAUAUCUGGAAUCAUGGAUUAAGAUUCGUCUGUGUACUUCGUCUGAGGUUUGAGCGACUGGGCUUACAUGUGAUCAUUGCCAAAGGUCAUUGUCCGUCGUGGUUUUUCAUCAUAUAUGCAGAACCAAGUUUCCUGUUAUGCAUGUUACAGUAAAAAAUAACUUGAGAAUAUACAAGGCAAUUAAAAAAAAAAUGUUGUAAGCAUUGAGUUUGCAGACUUUUAAUGUAGCAUUGUCUGGAAUUUCAUCUAUUCAGCAGAAAAAAUAACCUGCCCCUUAUGGCUUAUAUGAUCUUGCCUUGCUGUAUAAAACAUUGUGAUUGUAUGCUCACUAAUAAAUGAAGUUAUUUUUUAC
rnacentral:misc_RNA from 1 species